rnacentral:rRNA from 1 species
AUUGAACGCUGGCGGCAGGCCUAACACAUGCAAGUCGAGCGGAUGAAGGGAGCUUUCUCCUGGAUUCCGCGGCGGACGGGUGAGUAAUGCCUAGGAAUCUGCCUUGUAUUGGGGGAUAACGUCCGUUAACGGGCGCUGAUACCGCAUACGUCCUGAUGUAGAAAGUGGGGGAUCUUCGGACCUCACGCUAUCAGAUGACCCUAGGUCGGAUUAGCUAGUUGGUGUGGUAAAGGCCUACCAAGGCGACGAUCCGUAACUGGUCUGAGAGGAUGAUCAGUCACACUGGAACUGAGACACGGUCCAGACUCCUACGGGAGGCAGCAGUGGGGAAUAUUGGACAAUGGGCGAAAGCCUGAUCCAGCCAUGCCGCGUGUGUGAAGAAGGUCUUCGGAUUGUAAAGCACUGUAAGUUGGGAGGAAGGGAAGUAAGUUAAUACCUGGCUGUUUUGACGGUACCAACAGAAUAAGCACCGGCUAACUUCGUG